rnacentral:rRNA from 1 species
GAUGAACGCUGGCGGCGUGCCUAAUACAUGCAAGUCGAGCGAACAGAUGAGGAGCUUGCUCCUCUGACGUUAGCGGCGGACGGGUGAGUAACACGUGGAUAACCUUCCUAUAAGACUGGGAUAACUUCGGGAAACCGGAGCUAAUACCGGAUAAUAUAUUGAACCGCAUGGUUCAAUAGUGAAAGACGGUUUUGCUGUCACUUAUAGAUGGAUCCGCGCCGCAUUAGCUAGUUGGUAAGGUAACGGCUUACCAAGGCAACGAUGCGUAGCCGACCUGAGAGGGUGAUCGGCCACACUGGAACUGAGACACGGUCCAGACUCCUACGGGAGGCAGCAGUAGGGAAUCUUCCGCAAUGGGCGAAAGCUUGACGGAGCAACGCCGCGUGAGUGAUGAAGGUCUUCGGAUCGUAAAACUCUGUUAUUAGGGAAGAACAAAUGUGUAAGUAACUAUGCACGUCUUGACGGUACCUAAUCAGAAAGCCACGGCUAACUACGUG